rnacentral:misc_RNA from 1 species
GAUGAAGAACGCAGCGAAAUGCGAUAAGUAAUGUGAAUUGCAGAAUUCAGUGAAUCAUCGAAUCUUUGAACGCACAUUGCGCCCCUUGGUAUUCCGAGGGGCAUGCCUGUUCGAGCGUCAUUAUAACCCUCAAGCUCAGCUUGGUGUUGGGGCCUGCUGCACUGGCAGCCCUUAAAAUCAGUGGCGGCGCCAUCUGGCUCUAAGCGUAGUAAUUCUUCUCGCUAUGGAGUCCUGGUGGAUGCUUGCCAUCAACCCCCAAUUUUUCUAUGGUUGACCUCGGAUCAGGUAGGGAUACCCGCUGAACUUAAGCAUAUCAAUAAGCGGAAGA